GCCCUGGAGGCGGUGGCGCUGGCCGGCGCUGCGCUGGCUCUGCUCGGUGUGCUGCUGGAGCUGUUCCGGACAUCGCUGGUGUAUCUGGGACUGCUGUUGGCAUAUGGUCUGCUGACCCAGGUCGGCCAGGUCUUCUUCCUCUUCCAGGGGGACACCCUGCUGCUGGAGGCCGGCCUGCUGGCCGCGC